GAUGAACGCUGGCGGCGUGCCUAAUACAUGCAAGUCGAGCGAACGGACGAGAAGCUUGCUUCUCUGAUGUUAGCGGCGGACGGGUGAGUAACACGUGGAUAACCUACCUAUAAGACUGGGAUAACUUCGGGAAACCGGAGCUAAUACCGGAUAAUAUUUUGAACCGCAUGGUUCAAAAGUGAAAGACGGUUUUGCUGUCACUUAUAGAUGGAUCCGCGCUGCAUUAGCUAGUUGGUAAGGUAACGGCUUACCAAGGCAACGAUGCAUAGCCGACCUGAGAGGGUGAUCGGCCACACUGGAACUGAGACACGGUCCAGACUCCUACGGGAGGCAGCAGUAGGGAAUCUUCCGCAAUGGGCGAAAGCCUGACGGAGCAACGCCGCGUGAGUGAUGAAGGUCUUCGGAUCGUAAAACUCUGUUAUUAGGGAAGAACAUAUGUGUAAGUAACUGUGCACAUCUUGACGGUACCUAAUCAGAAGGCCACGGCUAACUACGUG
rnacentral:rRNA from 1 species